UCAGCAUCUGGAACUACGCAGGGAGAGUGGCGUCCGGGUUCGCCUCUGAGAUCUUCCUCACCAAGUACAAGUUCCCUCGCCCGCUCAUGCUCACGGCAGUCCUCCUCUUGUCCUGCGUCGGCCAUCUCCUCAUCGCCUUCGGCGUCUCGAAUUCCUUAUACUUCGCCUCAGUGGUCAUCGGGUUCUGCUUCGGCGCGCAGUGGCCGCUGCUCUUCGCCAUCAUAUCGGAGAUCUUCGGGUUAAAAUACUACUCCACGCUCUACAACUUCGGCGGCGUCGCCAGCCCGAUCGGGUCCUACAUACUGAACGUGAGGGUGGCCGGAUACUUGUACGACAGGGAGGCGCUGAAGCAGAACAAUGGCGUGAGGGGACCCAACGGCACCGACCUGACCUGCAUCGGCGUCGAGUGUUACAAACUCUCGUUCAUCAUAAUCACGGCGGUGACGGUGCUCGGAGCGCUGGUGUCGCUGGUACUGGUCUGGAGGACCAAGGACUUCUACAAGGGCGACAUCUAUGCCAAGUUUAGGGAGC
rnacentral:lncRNA from 1 species